rnacentral:rRNA from 1 species
GAUGAACGUUGGCGGCGUGCCUAGCACAUGCAAGUCGAACGCUGGUAGCAAUAUCAGAGUGGCGCACGGGUGAGUAACACGUAGCUUACCUACCUCAAAGCGCGGGAUAACGUUCCGAAAGGAAUGCUAAUACCGCAUAAGCUCGCGGUCUGUAGAGGGCUGAGAGAAAAGGGGCAACUCACUUUGAGAUGGGGCUGCGGCCCAUCAGCUGGUU